UGGACGGUUCCAACAAUAUUUUCGCAUGUCUAUGGAAAAUUUUAGUUGCAAUCUUGAUUUGAUUAAAGAGGAACUAAAACCAAACCACUACGCCUCUAGGAAAGAUUUUGAAAUUUUUAGCUACCGGCACGAGUUUUGUCGAUUUGCAAUUUAGGUUCAGGAUGGGAGUGUCAACCACAACCUAUUUCUGAUUGGCUUAAAAUAUCCAACGAUUUCAUACAAUAUUGGAAUUAUCAGUUUCGGUUUCCAGUGGAUACGAUGUGCGAUGCCAAUUUGCCGAUUGGUGUGUAAAUGAAGG